GUCUUUUUGUAUUAUAAUUUAAAGUCUUGCCUGCCCACUGAAUAUUUGAAUGGCCGCGGUAUUUUGACCGUGCAAAGGUAGCAUAAUCAUUAGUUUUUUAAUUGAAAGCUGGAAUGAAUGGUAGCAUAAGAGAAAAUCUGUCUCAAAUUAAUUUUUUUAAAAUUUUAUUUUUAAGUAAAAAAGCUUAAAUUUUUUUAAAAGACGAGAAGACCCUAUAGAGUUUAAUAAAAAUUAUAAGUAUUUUAAAAAUGAUUAUUUUUUUAUUUGUAAAAUUUAUUUUAUUGGGGUGAUAGAAAAAUUAAAUAAACUUUUUUUAUAAAAAAACAUUAAUUUAUGAAUUAAUGAUCCAAAAAUUUUGAUUAAAAGAAUAAAUUACCUUAGGGAUAACAGCGUAAUUUUUUCAGAGAGUUCUAAUCGAAGAAAAAGAUUGCGACCUCGAUGUUGGAUUAAAAUUAAUUAUUGGUGUAGAAGCUAAUUUAUUAGGUCUGUUCGACCUUUAAAAUUUUACA
rnacentral:rRNA from 1 species